rnacentral:lncRNA from 1 species
GGCCCCAUCUUCCGGGGAGAGUGGGCUCCGUGUGUAACUGCAAGGCCUCCUGCACCCACUUCCGGUGUGCUCUGGAAAAGCACGCUCCUGAUCGAGCUCAGAGGCAGAAGCCUUUCUCCACACCCACACCAGCUGCCUGCCGCUGAGCCUCGGGAUGAGAGAUGGGGCAGGGUGGGUGGCUAGGGCCUGUCAUCAGCCACAGCAGGGGCAGCAGUCCGGAAACAAAGGAGCAGAAGGCAGGAGGCUCUGACCAGGGUCCCCGCUCAGCAAGUAGCAGAUUUGAGGACAGAACGCCAACUUGGACUUCUGCAUUUAGAGUCUCCUGGAGGAGCUGUGGCUUCCAGCAGAGCAGGAGUUAAAGGCCAAGACAUAGAAGCCACUCGCUUCUCUGGAUGUCCAGCUUCGGAGUGGGAUCCAUGAGGCUAAACAGGGCGAGCUUAUUACCAACAAACGAUUACACUCCAGGUUGUAUCGAGCAGAGUGCGGUAUG